UGGGGAAUAUUGGACAAUGGGGGGAACCCUGAUCCAGCCAUGCCGCGUGUGUGAAGAAGGCCUUAUGGUUGUAAAGCACUUUAAGCGAGGAGGAGGGUACUGGUAUUAAUACUACCAGGUACUGGACGUUACUCGCAGAAUAAGCACCGGCUAACUCUGUGCCAGCAGCCGCGGUAAUACAGAGGGUGCGAGCGUUAAUCGGAAUUACUGGGCGUAAAGCGCGCGUAGGUGGUUCGUUAAGUUGAAUGUGAAAGCCCCGGGCUCAACCUGGGAACUGCAUCCAAAACUGGCGAGCUAGAGGAGGGCAGAGGGUGGUGGAAGUUCCUGUGUAGCGGUGAAAUGCGUAGAUAUAGGAAGGAACACCAGUGGCGAAGGCGACCACCUGGGCUCAUACUGACACUGAGGUGCGAAAGCGUGGGGAGCAAACAG
rnacentral:rRNA from 1 species